GCGUGCAGCCGUGUGUUUGGGCUUUAUAAGUUGGUUCUUUAUUCUAUGUUGCGGGACGGUGUGGGUGUGGUCCAUGUUGGCCGUACAGGUGGCAGUUAUGCAACCGAGGGAUGAUCCUGUUGAAGCUUCCGGCAGUAUGCGGUUUUCAGCGGUCAUGCCUGUUGCAGGAGUGUCACGUACUCGACGAGGUUACGAGCUCGAAGCUGUGGUCAGAUUCUUCGUUGGCGUUCCGUAAUUCUCUUCGCACGGGCGCGGGAUCUGAUGUGCAUAUCUGCAGUUUAUGGAUACAUGUAAAAGACUCAGCAUCAAGUGCAAGUGAACGGACCUACAGGCCCGAAGUCGAUCAUGCAAAUAGAUUCGCUGCACAAAUUUGUGACCAAAAAAGAUAUUCCACAUGAAAUGGCAUGCAAGGAAGUGUUGAAAAUAUUGCACAGUUAAUAAAACGCCUACGCUAUUAA